rfam:Parabacteroides merdae CAG:48 genomic scaffold, scf34
UGCACCCGGGUAAGUCCUACACGGCAUGCUCCCUCGGAAUCCCCCAGGGUUUGACCGCAGCAAGGGUACUUGGUUGUAGCGGCGCGAUGUAGUAAGCUUACCCACCU